AUGAACGCUGGCGGCGUGCCUAAUCCAUGCAAGUCGAGCGCACAGACGAGGAGCUUGCUCCUCUGACGUUAGCGGCGGACGGGUGAGUAACACGUGGAUAACCUACCUAUAAGACUGGGAUAACUUCGGGAAACCGGAGCUAAUACCGGAUAAUAUAUUGAACCGCAUGGUUCAAUAGUGAAAGACGGUUUUGCUGUCACCUAUAGAUGGAUCCGCGCCGCAUUAGCUAGUUGGUAAGGUAACGGCUUACCAAGGCAACGAUGCGUAGCCGACCUGAGAGGGUGAUCGGCCACACUGGAACUGAGACACGGUCCAGACUCCUACGGGAGGCAGCAGUAGGGAAUCUUCCGCAAUGGGCGAAAGCCUGACGGAGCAACGCCGCGUGAGUGAUGAAGGUCUUCGGAUCGUAAAACUCUGUUAUUAGGGAAGAACAAAUGUGUAAGUAACUAUGCACGUCUUGACGGUACCUAAUCAGAAAGCCACGGCUAACUACGUG
rnacentral:rRNA from 1 species